UACGGGAGGCAGCAGUGGGGAAUAUUGCACAAUGGGCGAAAGCCUGAUGCAGCUAUGCCGCGUGUAUGAAGAAGGCCUUAGGGUUGUAAAGUACUUUCAUCGGGGAGGAAAAAACAAAACUAAUAAUUUUAUUUCUUGACGUUACCCGAAAAAGAAGCACCGGCUAACUCCGUGCCAGCAGCCGCGGUAAUACGGAGGGUGCUAGCGUUAAUCAGAAUUACUGGGCGUAAAGAGCACGUAGGUGGUUUUUUAAGUCAGAUGUGAAAUCCCUGGGCUUAACCUAGGAACUGCAUUUUGAAACUGAAAUACUAGAGUAUCGUAGAGGGAGGUAGAAUUCUAGGUGUAGCGGUGAAAUGCGUAGAUAUCUGGAGGAAUACCUGUGGCGAAAGCGGCCUCCUAAACGAAUACUGACACUGAGGGUGCGAAAAGCGUGGGGAGCAAAACAGGGAUUAGAUACC
rnacentral:rRNA from 1 species